UACAAAGGUAGCAUAAUCAAUAGUUUCUUAAUUGGGNGCUUGUAUGAAAGGGUUUAUGAAUUAUAAUUUUUAUUUUAUUUAUUUUUAGAAUUUUAUUUCUAAGUAAAAAAGCUUAGUUUUUUUUUUGGGACGAAAAGACCCUAUAGAACUUAAUUGAUUUAAUUUAUUAUUUAUUUUUUGUUAAAUAACAUUAAUUUAAUAUCUAAAUUUAUUUGAUUGGGGCGAUUAUUAAGAAUAAUAAAACUUUAUUUUUUUAUUUCAUUUGUUUAUGAUUUGUUGAUCCAAUGUUUUUGAUUAAAAGAUUUAGUUACCUUAGGGAUAACAGCGUAAUUUUAAUGGGGAGUUCAUAUUUAUAUUAAAGUUUGCGACCUCGAUGUUGGAUAA
rnacentral:rRNA from 1 species